rnacentral:rRNA from 1 species
GGGUUGAUGCGUGGGGCCGUGAGUCGUUGUAGUCAAGUGAUGGGGUGACGCAGUGUGGUAGCCAAGCCACUUAUUGGAUUGUGGUGUAAGCGUGUGGCACGACGGUGUGUGAAAUGCCAUCGUCAUUGUGUGUGAGGCGUGAUGCGUAGCCCAGUGUUGGGUGAUGUUGGUGAUCCUGUGCUGUCGAGAAAAGCCUCUAGCGAGUGUGCAUACGGCCCGUACCCGAAACCGACACAGGUAGUCGAGGCGAGUAGCCUCAGGUGAGCGAGAGAACUCUCGUUAAGGAACUCGGCAAAAUGGCCCCGUAACUUCGGGAGAAGGGGCGCUGACUUAUGGUCAGCCGCAGUGAAUAGGCCCAAGCAACUGUUUAUCAAAAACACAGCUCUCUGCUAAAUCGUAAGAUGAUGUAUAGGGGGUGACGCCUGCCCGGUGCUGGAAGGUUAAGAGGAGUGCUUAGCAAUAGCGAAGGUAUGAAUUGAAGCCCCAGUAAACGGCGGCCGUAACUAUAACGGUCCUAAGGUAG